GGAUCUUACAUCCCUACAUCUGUACUGUUUGGAAGCUCUGAGCACAAAACUCGAAUGAUCAAGUAUUAUGAACACCCUUGCCAGUUCCAUUUCAUCCAGAGAAUGAAUUUGCCCCAAAGGAGUGGAGUCAAAUGUGCAAAAUAAAUGAUAGCCAGAUUCUGGAAUGUGAAAUCAUGUGGGCCUUAG